GCGAUCAUGGUGUAGUGGUAAACACCCUUGGCUUCCAACCAGGAGACACGAGUACCCUACGGGAAGCAAGCUACAAAUCUCGUUGAUCGCU
rnacentral:tRNA from 1 species